AGCGGUUAAGACACCGCCCUUUCACGGCGGUAACACGGGUUCGAAUCCCGUACGGGUCACCA
rnacentral:tRNA from 1 species